UGUCUCUAAACUAUUCAAAUUAGACAGCAUCGUCAUUUGUCGCUAUUCUUAGCCUUAACCUAUCCUCAUUUGUCGUUAUUCUUAGCCUUAACCUACCCUCAUUUAUUGCUAUUUCACGGGAUUAUUUACUUUGUCAUUGGCGUGACUGUCACUAAAUUCUCUUUAUUGGUAGUUCUAUAUCUGCCGCAUGUACCUUGGUUACGUUCGUAGCUGUUCAAUGUGUUUGGGGUUUAUCAUACUAGGGGAAUGGCUCUGAAAGUAGUUACUGAGCGUUGCAUUCAUUUUAAAUAUGCUGCUGUCAUAUUUUUUCUUGUGGCUCUUAUGGAAAUAUUUCAAGGAAAAGGGUGAUAUGGAAGUGGUCAUAUGUCAUUCAAAAUUACUAGCAUUUUUUUCAUUUGUGUGUUGUAUUAAUUUCAUUGGAUGCCAUGUUUUGGUUAUUAUGAUACUCAUGUAAUGGUUUGCUAAUUUAAUAAUUUUCCUUUACUCAAUGAACUCAUUUUUAAUAGUUAAUAACCAUAUGAUUGGUGUAUGAGAAUGAGAUCAAGAUAUAAUAGAAACCUGGG
rnacentral:lncRNA from 1 species